UGCCAGCUCCUGCUUUGAGCUUGUUGCCCAAGUUUUAAGCUGCUCUAAGAGCAGCCACUUGUUGCACACACUUAAUUUUAUGUCUGCAGGUUCUUAAUUGUGGUUAGAAGUGUGUACACAUGUGUUUCCAAUAAGCUACUAGGUUUUAAAAGCACUUCCAGCUAAAGAAAAAAAUCAAGAAGAAGGAGCAUAAUAAGCUAAGCAUUUGCUGGAAAUUUUGGUACAUUUGCAAGAAGUAAUGGCAGCAAAUCAAGGAAACUAUAAGUACAAAACAUAAAUAAGAAAUUGAUGUAAUGUGACAUUUGGAAACAUGUAUUAAUGUAAAAAUAGUACUUGUAGCUAUCUAUGUAAUCUUCUUGAAAACAUGCAUAAUCUGUACUAUUUUUUUUCUUUUCUUUUUUCUUUUUGACAAAGAAUGUAAACAGGUAAAUGUUUGCUUUUGUUUGUAAGAAACACUUGUGUUCUACUCUAGCAUUUUGUUAACAAAAGCUAGUUGGUUUUUGAGUUAUAAAAACAAAAUCAGCAGGGAUCAAGUAAUUCAUCA